rnacentral:rRNA from 1 species
UACGUAGGGACCAAGCGUUGUUCGGAUUUACUGGGCGUAAAGGGCGCGAUAGGCGGCGCAACAAGUCACUUGUGAAAUCUCCGGGCUUAACCCGGAGCGGCCAAGUGAUACUGUCGUGCUAGAGUGCGGAAGGGGCUACUGGAAUUCUCGGUGUAGCGGUGAAAUGCGUAGAUAUCGAGAGGAACACCUGCGGCGAAGGCGGGUAGCUGGGCCGACACUGACGCUGAGGCGCGAAAGCCAGGGAGCGAACGGG